rnacentral:rRNA from 1 species
UACGUAGGGAGCAAGCGUUGUCCGGAAUCAUUGGGCGUAAAGAGCGCGUAGGUGGCCACAUAAGUCCGCUGUGAAAGUCAAAGGCUCAACCUUUGAAAGCCGGUGGAUACUGUGUGGCUAGAGUACGGAAGAGGCGAGUGGAAUUCCUGGUGUAGCGGUGGAAUGCGCAGAUAUCAGGAGGAACACCAAUAGCGAAGGCAGCUCGCUGGGACGUUACUGACACUGAGGCGCGAAAGCGUGGGGAGCGAACAGG